rnacentral:rRNA from 1 species
GAGUUUGAUCCUGGCUCAGAACGAACGCUGGCGGUUGCCUAACACAUGCAAGUCGAACGAGACCUGGGUCUAGUGGCGCACGGGUGCGUAACGCGUGGGAACCUGCCUUUAGGUUCGGAAUAACUCCCCGAAAGGGGUGCUAAUACCGGAUAAUGUCUUCGGACCAAAGAUUUAUCGCCUUUAGAUGGGCCCGCGUUGGAUUACUAUUUGGUGGGGUAAAGGCUCACCAAGGCGACGAUCCAUAGCUGGUCUUAGAGGAUGAUCACCACACUGGGACUGAGACACGGCCCAGACUCCUACGGGAGGCAGCAGUGGGGAAUAUUGGACAAUGGGCGAAAGCCUGAUCCAGCAAUGCCGCGUGAGUGAUGAAGGCCUUAGGGUGUAAAGCUCUUUUACCCGGGAUGAUAUGACAGUACCGGGAGAAUAAGCUCCGGCUAACUCCGUGCCACCAGCCGCGGUAAUACGAGGGAGCUAGCGUUGGUCGGAUAUACUGGGCGUAAAGCGCACGUAGGCGGCGCAGCAAGUCAGGGGUGAAAUCCCGGGGCUCAACCCCGACUGCUUGAAACUGAGUGCUAGAAUUUGGAAAGCGAGUGGAUUUCGAGCGUACAGGUGAAAUUCGUAGAUAUUGAAGAACACCCAGUGGCGAAGCGACUGCUUGACAA